rnacentral:rRNA from 1 species
GACGAACGCUGGCGGCGUGCUUAACACAUGCAAGUCGAGCGGUAAGGCCCUUUUUGGGGGUACACGAGCGGCGAACGGGUGAGUAACACGUGGGUGACCUGCCCUCAGCUCUGGGAUAAGCCUGGGAAACUGGGUCUAAUACUGGAUAUGACCUUUCCUCGCAUGGGGUUGGGUGGAAAGUUUUUCGGCUGGGGAGUGGCCCGCGGCCUAUCAGCUUGUUGGUGGGGUGAUGGCCUACCAAAGCGACGACGGGUAGGCCGGCCUGAGAGGGCGACCGGCCGACACUGGGACUGAGAC